UAUGUGCAAGCUGAUGCUCCAGAUUAUCCGGAUCCUCAGUACCGUGACCAUUCGUACCGUUCGACUAUCGGACCAUUCGUACCGUGAUGUAGGCAGUGAGUUGUCAACCAUGGUAAUUACCCAGGAUACACAGUAUCUGAUACCUCAGGCUGGAUUUUAAGCGAUCCGUACACCAGCAUUCGGGCUAUGUCCCUAAUCCUGAAAUCUUUUGGCGGAAUCCCCGUAUAUAAUGUAAACGUUCUCCCGGAGCUUCGGUGAUGCGCUGGCAAUAGAAAGUGUUUACUAGACACCAAACUCCCAAAUUCGUCGUGUCAUGCAUGGACUUGUGAUGUUAAAGGCAACGUUGGCAAUGAUCCUUACAUAGUGUGAUUAUGUCAGAAAUGGUUCUUUUGGAAGUGACAAUGAUGAAACCAGAAACUGUAACCGUAUGUUCCUGUCAGUAGUUCUUUGCUACGUUUGUAAGUAUGUAUUUGAUAAACUUGAAUUGUAAUCAUUAGAAACUUAAACUUUUUUUUUACUGUCUUGAAUUUUAUUUUUAGCUUCGUAGCAGCUGGCUUUCAUGUACUUCCUCUUCAGAAUAUUAUCAGUAUGGUGCAGUUUCAAAAUCAUUCAUCCUUUCAACUCCUCAUCCGUACACUCUCCACUUUUUUCUUAAUUGUUAGGAGGAUGUUUGUGCAAAGGUGCAGAGAUGUUGUUACCCCUCCUUUCCCCUUUCCAGUCCAUGACAUCUUUGGUAGUAGUUCUGAAUCAAUUAUUAUGUUGAGGGCAUUAGUUUUGGUAAACUUCACAUAAAAUAAAGCAUCUUUAGGUGCUCAGCUUGAGUUAGCAAUGAUGAAGAUGACAUAAAAGUAACGAUGAUAACAAAUUCUUGUUAUACACUUGGAAGAGAGUCAAGAAGCAUGCGCAUGAUCUUUAGAACAACAAAAGGCAGGAAACGGAUGAGAUCGAAGAAGCGAAAAGUUGAUAGGAUGUCGAUCGCAUUAAUUUAUGAAGUUAUACGAUACAUGUUUUUGGAAGAAACGCCUAAGCAUUUACAACAAUAAGCAGAUAAGUCAUUUGUAUAAGCUUGAUAUAAUCUCAUUUUAUCGGAACAAUAUUCUCAAGUAA